GACAUUUCCUUGAACUAACAUGAGAGAGUUAUGUUUGACGUAACUCUCUCUCGUUAACAUGAUGAUGUUACAGAGUUAUCAUUUUUUAUAACUCUUCCCGUUCACGUUUUGAUUAAAUCUGAAGAAACAAGCUUUAGUAAGUUUUCUCAAAAAACUGACACAACUCUCUUCAUUGCCGCAAUCGUGAACACGGAGAGAUAAUGUUAACAAGAGAGAGUUAUGGCAUAACUCUCUCAUGUUAGUUCAAGGAAAUGUU